CAUUGUGUGAAAAAAAAGAAAGGAAUAAAGAAAAAAUGGAGAGGAAAAUUUAUGGUCUUUUGUUUCUCCUUGUCAUUUUGUUCACUUCACAAAUGUCGAUCCGAGGGGCGGAGGGAAGAGUGUGCCUCUCGCAAAGCCAUGGGUACAAGGGUCCAUGCGUGCGUGACCACAACUGCGCUCUCGUCUGCCGUAACGAAUAUUUCUCCGGUGGAGACUGCAUUGGAUUUGGCUUUAAUAGAAAGUGCUUCUGCACUAAGGCUUGUUAAUUAAUUAAUUAAUUAAUUAGUGUCAUGAAAAUGACACUAAAUUAAUUUAAUUAAUUAGUUCAUUAAUCCAUCUCUAAGUUAGUUUUGUUUUAGGCAAUAAUAAAAUGUAGUAGUGUUUUUUUUCUUAAGGGCAUUAUGCCUUUCAGGGUUGUAGUCUUUCUUCAAAAUCUGUGUGAACAUGAGGUGUUUUGUGCAUCGACUGAACUGUUCUUCGUUUAGUAAUUCAAGGGUUCUUUCUUUCUUCUUUGCA